rnacentral:rRNA from 1 species
AGACGAACCGUGCGAACGUUAUUCGGAAUCACUGGGCUUGAAGCGUGCGUAGGCGGCUUGGCAAGUUGGGUGUGAAAGCCCUCGGCUCAACCGAGGAAUUGCGCCCAGAACUGCCAGGCUUGAGGGAGAUAGAGGUGAGCGGAACUGAUGGUGGAGCGGUGAAAUGCUUUGAUAUCAUCAGGAACACCGGAGGCGAAGGCGGCUCACUGGGGCUCUUCUGACGCUGAGGCACGAAAGCUAGGGGAGCGAACGGGAUUAGAAACCCUAGUAGUCC